rnacentral:rRNA from 1 species
AUUGAACGCUGGCGGCAGGCUUAACACAUGCAAGUCGAGCGGGGUGAUGGUGCUUGCACUAUCACUUAGCGGCGGACGGGUGAGUAAUGCUUAGGAAUCUGCCUAUUAGUGGGGGACAACAUCUCGAAAGGGAUGCUAAUACCGCAUACGUCCUACGGGAGAAAGCAGGGGAUCACUUGUGACCUUGCGCUAAUAGAUGAGCCUAAGUCGGAUUAGCUAGUUGGUGGGGUAAAGGCCUACCAAGGCGACGAUCUGUAGCGGGUCUGAGAGGAUGAUCCGCCACACUGGGACUGAGACACGGUCCAGACUCCUACGGGAGGCAGCAGUGGGGAAUAUUGCACAAUGGGGGAAACCCUGAUGCAGCCAUGCCGCGUGUGUGAAGAAGGCCUUCGGGUUGUAAAGCACUUUCAGCGGGGAGGAAGGGAAUAUGGCUAAUAUCCAUGUUCAUUGACGUUACCCGCAGAAGAAGCACCGGCUAACUCCGUGCCAGCCGCCGCCGUAA